ensembl:lncRNA
CUAAUAAUGUAUUAGCUCCUGUGUAACUCUAAUAAUGUCACAUUUAACAUUGUGAUUGUGAUUGUCAUUUGGGAUUUGGACAGGUACACUAAAAAGUGUCAUGUGACUCAUUUACUAUGCUGUAAUGUGGCAAAAUUCAUUUAACAGGUGUAUUCAUGGUAAAUCCCUGUGCUGUGAUUUUGAGACAGCAAAUGUUGCUGAGUGGUAAUAUUAGGGCUGUGAGGUUUGUUUUGUGACACACUCCAGUGAAGGGCCAAGCAAUUAAUCUAUAAUCCACAUAUUGACACAUUCCAUCCAGCAGGAGCAGUGCUGUCUGCAGCCCAGACCAAAGUGUGUAUAGGAACAGAAUCUUGCACCUAAAUGGAAUGGGUGUAGUUCAUCCACCCUUUUCUCUGGGUGAGAAUAAAUGGAGAAAAAAUAAAUGCUAAUGCUUUGUGCCAUGUGACCUUUUUCCAAUGGUGAAUGUGGUGGAAUAUUAUUCAAAUAAAAAAGUCCAAUUAAAUUAAAAAAAUAUAUUUAAAAAGUGACAAGAAAACUAAACAAAAGACAGCAAACCUACAAACACAAAAGUAAAUUAAAAAAAACACAAAUUAAAAACACACAAUCAAAUCAGAAAACACAACAGCAAAACUAAAACACAAUAGCAAAUCAGAAAACUAAAUUAAAUCACAACAGUAACCAAAAUAACAAAAACAAAACAGCAAACUAUAAACACAACACUGAGUCAGAAAUGAAAACAAAAUGAAAAAACACCAAUAAAACACAAAUGCAAAACUAACCCAACAACAAAUCAAAAAACACAACAGCAAAAUCAAAAACACAACAAAACGAAACACAACAUCAAUUCAGAAACACAACAAAACUAAACACAACUAAAAAUCUAAUUAAAAAACACAGCAGCAAAACUAAAACACAACAGCAAAUCUAAAAACACAAUGUCAGAUCAAAUACAUAAUGGCAAAACUAAAAGCACAACAUCAAAUUAGUAGCACAAUGGCAAAACCAAAAAUACACCAUCAAAGCCAAGAACACAACAGCAAUACUAAAACAACAGCAAAUAAAAAAAACACAACACCAAAUAAAAA